CACGAAAUCCGGGUAUGCGAAGGUAGGUGCGGAGCAUAAACAGUCCUUUAUGCCCUGGAAAGCGCUAUCUUCCACCUGCCGCCAUUGCCAUGGUACUGUGCCUCUCCUGAGCUGCGUAAGCACAUGGACUUCAUCCGUGAACUGAUUGAUGAAACGUUUGUAAUAAUUCGCUAGACUUAAAAAUGCUCUAACAUAGUCGGCGUUUUUCGGUGCCGGAUACUUUUUUACUGCUUGUAUUUUAUUGGGUCCACCAUGACUCCCUUCUGUGAUACAAUGUGUUCUAAAUAUUCUACCGCGCUUGCAGCGAAUUUUCACUUCUGAAUCUUUACUUUGAGGCCAUUUGCCUGAAAAUGGCGAAAGGUCAAAGUCACAUAUUCUACGUGUUCGCUUAUGUUUUUGCUAUGCACGAUGAUGUCAUCGAUGUAAACCAUUUCGCAUAUUCCGAUCAGAGUUGUCGAAACGAUCUUCAGUAUACACAAAACAGAGCAAGCGUUGAAAAUAAUUUCGUAGAUUUAUACAAACCGUCAGCUCUAGAAAACGAUUAACAACCAACUUCGAAAACGAAAAUUGUAUUCUGAUACAAGGAAGAAAAGGAGACGAAAACAUCCAGACAACGUCGAAAAGAAGAAGAAAUCAUUUUCAUGCCAUUGGUUCUUGCCGACGCGAAGGCUCGCCAGAGAGAAGAUAGUUGAUGAGCUAGUCGAUAGUCUAAUGUUCCGGGCGAUCCUCGAAUUCCUACUGAAGAUGCUCCUGCGUCAACCGUGAGAAAGUCGAGGUGGGGGUAUGUGCUCUGUACCGACGCCAACCACCAGAGGAAUCGGGAGAAACGGAUCGGGUACACAUCACGAUAACGAGCAUACCCGAUAUGGUUCCUUUAAAACAAAAUAGAACAUGACUGACGAAUCAAGAAAAAAAACCCACGCUACUUACAUAUAGUAAUAGUCGUUGAUCCGAGCGCGUUUGAACGCGACAAUGCACCGACUCUCAAAUAGGCCACAUGUUCUCAUGGUUCGACAAGUUGAAAAUAAUAAGUCUAUCAGUGAUUGGAUUCAUACUUUUCCUCGUAUGUCUACGGAUCUUCAUUGUGUGCAACCCUUUCCCGAAGAUUAAGGACCAUAUCCGCAGAGGUGGAAAGACGAGAAGAUACGAAAAUAGCUUGGAGGAAGAACAUGAAAUCACUUCGAUGAUACCAGCACGAGAAUCAACGUAUCAUCCAGACAUGGUUAUUGAACAGACGUUCAUAAGAACAUCUGCACCCGCACCGUUGACAACAGAAAGACGAGGUCCAAUACGUCCACCACGACCAAGCGCACCAAGUCAAGGAAUCUAUCCCUCUAUAGAAGAGUCAGAAUCACCAAAAAGGUGCACAGGAAAACAUACUACGUGCACUUACGUCGUCGGAUAUGUUAUGGUCCGGGAAAAUCUAUGCCGUUGCAUGCCGGAAACUGAUAUUAGCGGCUGUUUUGGCUAUUCCUAAGUGACCUGCCAAUUUGUGGUCAUGAUAUAACUUGUAAUGUGCAUAAUAUUAGAAGUGAUAGUAAUUAAUGCACAUAGAUGAUUCACAUGAAUGUAUUUACCUUCUUGACACAGCACGAUACAGCAUACACUUAUAACUCACGGUGGUGUUACUCCUAAUGAUGCAAUGACGAACCGCGUCUUUUAUACAAGACGCGGAUGCGAGGAUGAAAGGUUGCACGAAAUCUGGGUACGCGAGGGUAGGGGCGGAACAUAGACACUCUUUAAUGCUUUCGAACGCGUUCAUCUCUUCAUGCCCCCAUUGCCAUGGUACCGCGCUCCUCGUGAGCCGCGUUAGCGCAUGGACUUUGUUAGCGAACUGGUCAAUAAAACGUCUAUAAUAAUUAGCGAGGCCUAGAAAUGCUCUGAUUUGAUCGGCAUUCUUCGGUGUCGGAUAUUUCUUUACAGCUUUGAUUUUAUUAGGAUCAACCAUAACUCCCUUCUCUGACACAAUAUGUCCUAAGUACUAGCAGCAAACCUACACUUCUGAAUUUUUACCUUGAGGUCAUUUGCCUGCAAGAGGCGAAAGGUCGAGGUUAGGUGAUCUGCAUGUUCUUCCAUGUUUUUACUGUACACGAUGAUAUCAUCGAUAUACACCAUGACACAUUUCCCUAUUAAAGGUUUGAGAACGAUCUCCAUCGUUCGCUGAAAUGUGCUAGGGGCAUUGCAUAGUCCGAACGGCAUCCUAAUAUAUUCAAAAUGUCCGGCUUCUGCCGUAAAGCAGUUUUGUGUAUAUCUUCUUCUUCUAUUUCGAUCUCCAGUAACCACUGAACAAAUCUAGCGUCGAAAAUAAUUUGGCUCUAGGUAAGAGGUUUAGUGUGUCCUGUAACGUUGGGUUUCUGAAUAACUCGCGACUCAAUUCACUAGAUUCUAAGUGUAUUUAUCAAGACUAAAACAGACUAAUCACACAGACGUAGAUACAAUAAUAGAUUUUCUAAGAACUCUAACACACUCGCUAAGCUCUCUAACACGGACACUUAAUACACUCUUAACACACUAAACACAGACCCCGAGCCCCCCUUUUGUCACAGCUUUUAUCAGUUAUUAUGAGGUCACUCUUGACGUCAAUGGUGACCUCCGAGAGAUGAUCACGUGAAGACGAAGUGAUCGUAGGGGUGAAGAGCUGCCUGAUACUGGUUUGGCGUGGGAAGACUCCGUGAGGAUGAAGGACUGUCUGAUACCAGUUCGCCGUGGGAUCAUCCAAGGCUGGAAUCUAUUAAUUAGCUAAGCUAACUAAUUGGUGGCGUUCUUCGGUAUAUGUCCUCAUCACAUUCCUCCCUUUUUUACAGAAGUUGCCUUCGGGGUUACAGGGUUGGAGAAUAUAUUUAUGUCUAAGGAAGCUAUAAUGAUACCGAUAGGUCUACAAAAUUUUCUAAGUCUAAUUUAUGCAGUUGUUUCUUUUCUCUUCACCGUAAGAAUUAUAAUUGUUAAACAUUUCUUGUUAGUAGGAGAGUGGAAUAGUGGAGGAGAUAGGUAAGGGGUUAUUAUUAUUAUUUUAUUUUAUUUUUAUUUUUUUUUUCAUUCUUUUUUUUCGAUGCGAACCUUAUAAUUGUUGUUUUUUGUUCCGGUGUGUUUCAUUCGUUUCUUGCCCUUCGCCGAGCUCCCUCGUGCAUGAUGGAAUUUGACUUUACGUGCGUCUCAUCGUGCUGCCAUCGAUACUGCUUUGUGGAUUUUCGAAGUUAUAGCGUAUCACAAGUCUCAUUUGCUCUUCCGAAGAUUUCUCUCCACUGAUCGAGGACUUUUCGAUGAGUGUUGAAAAUUGUCCUCCUCUUGACUUCGGGUACCGACGAAUCAGUCCUACCGACCGUUACUAUAUUCAGUUUCCAGGCUAUGCUCGCUACUGCGACAUUUACCCAAUCCGGUUUGCACGAUUACUCUGGUGGCUAGAGUCUGGUGAGGAUAUCUAUCACCGCAACUGGCGUUCAUCACUCUUCUUGAAGGAACAAUUGCAAGAAGAAUCCCAUCAUUCAGUGGCAAUGCAGAACGUACACCGUCUUCUCCGUCAACUUCUGAUUGGCACCGAUUUUAUGCUGGUUAGUUCCUUGUAUUUCCAGUAGAAUACACAACUUUAAUAGGU